GGCAAACACCGACUCAUCCAACCUUUCAUAACAACCCUAUGAAAUAUAUACUACUAUUUAUUAUUCCCAUUUUACAUUUGAGGAAGCAGAAACACAGAGAGCUUAAGUAACUGGUCCAAGGACCAUAACAGGUACAUGCACAGCCAGGAACUGAACCCAGACAAUCUAGUCCAUUCCUUCAUGGGUCUCAUGGGUAUAUUAUUUAUUUGGGAAGGCCUGCAGAGACCAAAGCAGCCAAAUGAAAUAUCAGGGCCCGUUUAACAUCAGGGCCAGAAGUAUUGAAGUUGCAAAAGCCUCUGCUGAUAAGCUUUCAUAGCCAGAACCUCAGACCAGAGGGAUCUAGAUGAGGUUGACUGAACAAGCAAGCUGAUUUCCAGUCCUUUGGCACGCUGCCCUCUCUCCACUCCCACCACCGAGGAGGGUGCAGCCUCCUCUCAGGUUUCUUCAUUCUUCUUCACUCCCUUGGCUCGGUGAAUGUGAAAUUGCUGGCUGUUGCAGCCUAAGUGGGUGGAAGGGUGGCUGGAGGAAGGAAGGCAUUAAAGUAGGCAGAGAAAAAAGAAAUAACUUGUUUUUAGCAUUUUAAUAACUCUAAUUUUUAAAAUUAUCAAAGCGAUACCUCUUUAUAAGCAGAUGCUGCAAAAUGGCUGACUCAGCCCCAAUUCCUAACACACAUACUCUCCCAUCCCUCCUUCCACUUUCCAGCUGCAGAUGGCCAUGUGACACAAAUCUGGCCAGUGAGGGUUAAAUCUGUGAUGGCGUUCUCAUUCGUGUUUUCGGGAGACAGUCCUUCCUGUUCUCCUUUCCUCUCUCUUUGAAUGCAUAUGUGAUAACCAAGGGGGUCUCACGCCAUUGCCUGGAAUGAAGUGCUGUGGUAUGAUCAUAGCUCACUCCAGGCUUGACCUCCUGGGCUCAAGCAGCGCUCCCACAUUCUUAGUUAGGACUACAGACUUUCAAAUUAAGUCUCUGAGUGGACGUCCAACUUGUUAAUUCCCAGCACCAAAAUCUGAGCAACCCA
rnacentral:lncRNA from 13 species